rnacentral:lncRNA from 1 species
CCAAUUUGUUGACAGAGAUUACAACAAUGAAUAAAUUGGUGCACAUCAAAAAACAUUGUGGGCCAUCAAUAUCCGGCCAUUAAAGCCUUGCAAGUAGUACUAUCUCCCGCAAAAUGACCACUACAAGUAUCCAAAUUGCAACCUUUGAGGAUCGACUAUACUUCACUUACAAAGAUAUAGUGGCAUAAAAUACCAUCUUUGCCUUUUUUAUACAAAGUAUCGCGAAUCAUUGUAUGUGGGGCACUCUUCAGAAUGAGUCGCUUCUUAAGUUUCUAGAUAAAAGUCGA